rnacentral:rRNA from 1 species
UACGUAGGUGGCAAGCGUUGUCCGGAAUGACUGGGCGUAAAGGGUACGUAGGCGGCUAUUCAAGUUAGUAGUGAAAUCCCGGGGCUCAACUCCGGUGCUACUACUAAGACUGUAUAGCUUGAGUGCAGGAGGGGUAAGUGGAAUUCCUAGUGUAGCGGUGGAAUGCGUAGAUAUUAGGAAGAAUACCGGUGGCGAAGGCGACUUACUGGACUGUAACUGACGCUGAAGUACGAAAGCGUGGGGAUCAAAC